GGCAAGUCUGGUGCCAGCAGCCGCGGUAAUUCCAGCUCCAAUAGCGUAUAUUAAAGUUGUUGCAGUUAAAAAGCUCGUAGUUGAAUUUCGGGAUCAAUAUGUCGGUCGCGCCUUCGGUACGUACUGGCGUCAUUGGUUUCUCCCUUCUGACAAACCAUGAUGUCAUUAAUUUGGUGUUAUGGGGAGUUAGGACUGUUACUUUGAAAAGAUUAGAGUGCUUAAAGCAAGCUAACGCUUGAAUACAUUAGCAUGGAAUAAUGAAAUAGGACGUUUGAUCCUAUUUUGUUGGUUUCUAGGAUUGACGUAAUGAUUAAUAGGGAUAGUUGGGGGCAUUAGUAUUCAAUUGUCAGAGGUGAAAUUCUUGGAUUUAUUGAAGACUAAC
rnacentral:rRNA from 1 species